GGGUCAGUAGGUUGGUCGUGCCACCGGUACGUACUGGUCUCAUUGAUUCCUCCUUCCUGAAGAACCGUAAUGCUAUUAAUUUGGUGUUGCGGGGAAACAGGACUGUUACUUUGAAAAAAUUAGAGUGUUUAAAGCAAGCUAACGCUUGAAUACAUUAGCAUGGAAUAAUGAAAUAGGACGAUCGAUCCUAUUUUGUUGGUUUCUAGGAUUGACGUA
rnacentral:rRNA from 1 species